rnacentral:sRNA from 1 species
GAAAUAUGUGAUGGAAAAAUGUAUAUUGGGGUUUAGGUUGUUUUCUUCCUAAAAUUUAUGAGGUUUCCAUUAAAGGAUGUAGAGACCACAAACUCACUUCAUAAGUUUGUCUUCUUCGACCCUCAGUUGUUUCGUGUAUGGCCGACAACGUCGUUGCAUUAGUCGUUGGUGGUUUUCUUUGUUUGUAGCAUCCUGUUAGUGGUGCGGCGUUACAACAUUUCGUCUUUUUCCUGCAACAAAAUCUAUUCAUCGUCCCGGCAGAAGUAACCUUCAUUUCUCAUUUCUCUUUUCCCUUUUCUAAUUGUAUUGUGUUGAUUGAAAUAUAUAAUGGAUGAGUGGUUUGGAGUGAUGCAAAACGUUAAUUGAUAUUCGAAAGUCAUUGAAGGUAUUGACGACUUUGGAAUAUUGGUUAACGUUUUUGCCAACAUUCAAAAUAUGUUUCGACGCAAUUCAUCAUCUCCUCUUCUUAAUCUCACUGUGUAUCACUCCAAAUCACCAAUCCAUUACGCAUUUCAAUCAACACAAUAUAAUUAGAAAGAGAAAGGGAGAAAGGAGCAUUACUUCAAUCGGGACGACGAAUACGUUUGCUACACGAGGAAGACAAAAUGCACCUCCAAUAGGACGCCACAAAUAACGAUAAUCACCUGCAAUCACUGUAGCAUGCACCGAGCAAAUGAAGACAGAGGAAAACGAACGAAAACAAGGGGAAGAAAAAGACCGAGAACUCUCGCGGAGGAAGAAGAAUGAGGCGUGGAAGUGCAUGAUGCUGUAGGGUUUUUUUAAUAAGAAAAUUUGAGAGAGAAGAAUCUGAUAAUGGUCAAAGAUUCCUAACUUGUCAAUUGGGGAAAAUCUACCAUUAUUUAAAAAAUUGGAAGUGUAGGGAGAAAACGCUGAGGUGCAAAGAAAAAAGUGAAGCACUCUAAUUCCUUUUCCUUUUAACUUCAUUAUAUUUUUUAGAACCUUUGAACAUGAAAAAGGUAGAGAAUGUCUUCCAAGAUAAUUUAUAAUUCAACAACCAACU